UACGUAGGGGGCUAGCGUUGUCCGGAAUCAUUGGGCGUAAAGCGCGUGUAGGCGGUCCGGUAAGUCCGCUGUGAAAGUCGAGGGCUCAACCCUCGAAUGCCGGUGGAUACUGUCGGGCUUGAGUACGGGAGAGGCAGAGGGAAUUCCCGGUGUAGCGGUGAAAUGCGUAGAUAUCGGGAAGAACACCAAAGGCGAAAGCGCUCUGCUGGGCCGAAACUGACACUGAGAGACGAAAGCUAGGGGAGCGAAUGGG
rnacentral:rRNA from 1 species